rnacentral:rRNA from 1 species
GACGAACGCUGGCGGCGUGCUUAACACAUGCAAGUCGAACGGAAAGGCCCUGCUUGCAGGGUCCUCGAGUGGCGAACGGGUGAGUAACACGUGGGUGAUCUGCCCUGCACUUCGGGAUAAGCUUGGGAAACUGGGUCUAAUACCGGAUAGGAGCCAUCUUUAGUGUGGUGGUUGGAAAGUUUUUUCGGUGUAGGAUGAGCUCGCGGCCUAUCAGCUUGUUGGUGGGGUAAUGGCCUACCAAGGCGGCGACGGGUAGCCGGCCUGAGAGGGUGUACGGCCACAUUGGGACUGAGAUACGGCCCAGACUCCUACGGGAGGCAGCAGUGGGGAAUAUUGCACAAUGGGCGCAAGCCUGAUGCAGCGACGCCGCGUGGGGGAUGAAGGCCUUCGGGUUGUAAACUCCUUUCGCUAGGGACGAAGCGUUGUUGUGACGGUACCUAGAUAAGAAGCACCGGCUAACUACGUG